GCCGGCAUAGCUCAGUUGGCAGAGCGUCGGUAUCGUAAACCGAAGGUCGGGGAUUCGAGGUCCUCUGCCGGCA
rnacentral:tRNA from 1 species